GACGAACGCUGGCGGCGUGCUUAACACAUGCAAGUCGAACGAUGAAGAAGGGAAACGCGAACUUCGGUUCAAAUUUCAAUUCGGAUUAGUGGCAGACGGGUGAGUAACGCGUGAGCAACCUACCUCUUACAAAGGGAUAGCCUCGGGAAACCGUGAUUAAUACCAUAUGACACAUUCAUAAGGCAUCUUAAGAAUGUUAAAGCUACGGCGGUAAGAGAUGGGCUCGCGUCCCAUUAGCUAGUUGGUGAGGUAACGGCCCACCAAGGCGACGAUGGGUAACCGGCCUGAGAGGGUGAACGGUCACAUUGGAACUGAGACACGGUCCAAACUCCUACGGGAGGCAGCAGUGGGGAAUAUUGCACAAUGGAGGGAACUCUGAUGCAGCGACGCCGCGUGAGCGAUGAAGGAAUUCGUUUCGUAAAGCUCUGUUCUAUGGGAAGAAAAGAACUGUACCAUAGGAGAAAGCCCCGGCUAAAUACGUG
rnacentral:rRNA from 1 species